rnacentral:rRNA from 1 species
UACGUAGGGGGCAAGCGUUGUCCGGAAUCAUUGGGCGUAAAGCGCGUGUAGGCGGCUCGAUAAGUCUGCUGUGAAAGUCCAGGGCUCAACCCUGGAAAGCCGGUGGAAACUGUCGGGCUAGAGUCCGGAAGAGGCGAGUGGAAUUCCUGGUGUAGCGGUGAAAUGCGCAGAUAUCAGGAGGAACACCAAUGGCGAAGGAAGCUCGCUGGGACGGUAUUGACGCUGAGACGCGAAAGCGUGGGGAGCAAACAGG